GUUUUUUUUGUGCUCGGGUUUUUUAUUUUAUUUUAAGUUCAACGGGUAUGAUGGUUUUUUAUUUGGCCUUUUUUGGGGCUGAAAAAUAAAGAUUUUAAAAAAAAGAUGACGUCAAAUGGUAAGUUUAAUUUUUCUUUACAGGUUAGUUAUUUUAUUCCCCCCUCACUAUUUUUUAGGGUGAGGGGGGUAGGUAGGGGGUAAC